rnacentral:rRNA from 1 species
CCUACGGGUGGCAGCAGUGAGGAAUAUUGGUCAAUGGACGAGAGUCUGAACCAGCAAAGUAGCGUGAAGGAUGACUGCCCUAUGGGUUGUAAACUUCUUUUAUAUGGGAAUAAAAUGUUCCACGUGUGGGAUUUUGUCUGUACCAUAUGAAUAAGGAUCGGCUAACUCCGUGCCAGCAGCCGCGGUAAUACGGAGGAUCCGAGCGUUAUCCGGAUUUAUUGGGUUUAAAGGGAGCGUAGGUGGAUUGUUAAGUCAGUUGUGAAAGUUUGCGGCUCAACCGUAAAAUUGCAGUUGAAACUGGCAGUCUUGAGUACAGUAGAGGUGGGCGGAAUUCGUGGUGUAGCGGUGAAAUGCUUAGAUAUCACGAAGAACUCCGAUUGCGAAGGCAGUUCACUGGACUGCAACUGACACUGAGGCUCGAAAGUGUGGGUAUCAAACAGGAUUAGAUACCCUAGUAGUC